rnacentral:ncRNA from 1 species
ACUAUAUAUAGCGUUCUAGGUUCUUCCGAUGCGCAAGCGCUGGGAGCUAAGAGGGAAUACGGUGCGCUGGGUCUUUUGGCCAGAGCAACGCCGGAGCUGCCCCCGCAACUGUAAGCGGCGAGCUUUUGUUCAACAUGCCACUGGGCCCAAAAGCCCGGGAAGGAGAACAGAAGCCUCGACCCGUGAGCCAGGAGACCUGCCAGAACGAAACGUCCACC